rnacentral:rRNA from 1 species
UACGUAGGUGACAAGCGUUGUCCGGAUUUACUGGGCGUAAAGAGCGCGCAGGCGGUCGAUCAAGUCGAGUGUGAAAGCCCCCGGCUCAACUGGGGAGGGUCAUUCGAUACUGAUCGACUCGAAGGCAGGAGAGGGUAGUGGAAUUCCCGGUGUAGUGGUGAAAUGCGUAGAUAUCGGGAGGAACACCGGUGGCGAAGGCGACUACCUGGCCUGUUCUUGACGCUGAGGCGCGAAAGCUAGGGGAGCAAACGGG